rnacentral:rRNA from 1 species
UACGGGGGGGGCAAGCGUUGUUCGGAAUUACUGGGCGUAAAGCGCGCGUAGGCGGCUUUGUAAGUUAGAGGUGAAAGCCCGGGGCUCAACCCCGGAACUGCCUUUAAGACUGCAUCGCUUGAAUCCGGGAGAGGUGAGUGGAAUUCCGAGUGUAGAGGUGAAAUUCGUAGAUAUUGGGAAGAACACCAGUGGCGAAGGCGGCUAACUGGUCCAGCACUGACGCUGAGGUGCGAAAGCGUGGGGAGCAAACAGG